AAGGUCAGGCUUUGAACAUCUCGCCACCCGGUGGUUGCAUGCGGAACUGCGUUGGGCCGUGGCGUCAUCCCCGCACUGGGGCUCUUGUGAGCAUAGGGAGAGGGGAUAAAGUGUGUGUGGCUAAAGGAGGAGUCCAAAGAGACUGGGGGGAUGCUUCUUAGAGAGGUGCCCAAAGUUAAAGGAACCAAGAACCUGGUUUGAAGUCACCUGGGUUCCACUAGGUAUCCUUAGUGGCUGGUGGCUGGGAUGCUGGGUGUAGCUUUUGCGUGUGUGUGUGUGUGUGUGUGUGUGUGUGUGUGUGUGUGUCUGUGUGUGUCUGUGUGUGUCUGUGUGUGUCUGUGUGCGCGCGCGCGCGCGCGCGUCAGUUUUUCCGAGUCUGUUUCUUUUCUAAAAAGCAGGGAUUACAGUCUUACCACCAAAGGCAACGGGAUUCCUCCCACAUAAUAGGUACUCAAUAGUGGUACUUGCCGUUAUGGUCAUUGGCUAGAGAGGGUUCCUUGAGAAGCGGCGACAUCUUGGCAGGCAUUUCUUGAAUACCUACUAUAUGCUUCCGGUGGAAGCAAAAGGUGAUGGUAGUUUAUGGCUUGGAAACAACUGGACAGGUACAACUGGUACGCAACUCAACUCAACUAUCCCUCUUUCUUUACGGUGAAAUCCUUACUAGACCUCGCUAACACGCAACUCGCUGACCUGACCCCAGGGACCUAGCAAUUGCUUAAGGCAUCACCUGCCCGGCCCCCAGGUACCACAGGGGUGUGCCACAGAUAAAAAGGACCCCUGCCACACCAGCACUCACUCUUGCUCAGCUCCCCUCUCCCCCCCCCCCUCAUCUCCCUAUCUCCUCAACUCCUCUCUCUCCCUCUCUGCCCUGCUUUUCUCUGCCUUCAUGGCUUUGCUCCUGUCUGUUUACAAGUCCACUUGCUUGCCUCUACCCCUGGUCCUCCCUCCUCUCCCUUUUCCCUAGGGAAACCCCCUUUAUACCAGAUCAGUUGCAUAGCGUAAUUUCUCAGGGGUGCCCCUUGCCUCGGGCCACCAAGAAUACAGCAUUAUAUUUCCCAACUGCCCACCACACCUGAUGGGGUUCCAGUUGAAAACACCUGUACAGUGUAGUGUGCCUAUUAGGUUAUUGGCGUUGUCUUUUUUUUUUUAAAAGACUCAUUUAUUUUUAUGUAUAUGAGUACACUAUAGCUGUCUUCAGACACACCAGAAGAGGGCAUUGUAUCCCAUUACAGAUGGUUGUGAGCCACCAUGUGGUUGCUGGGAAUUGAACUCAUGACCUCUGGAAGAGCAGUUAGUGCUGUUAACUGUUGAGCCAUCUCUCCAGCCCUGGUGCUGUCUUUAAGAGCUCGAAUUCACAGGGCCCCAGAGGUGGUUACCCUGGAAGUCCUUUUUUUAAACAACACUCUCCAGGCCACCAAAGGCAGGCAGACGGGUGCAAGGUCAGUGAGAGAUCCUAGGACUAGUCAACUGGAAUCAAUGCUGCUAGAGUCCGGGGCCUAGGAAGUGAGGGCAGGUCUCCAAUCACAAUCAGGAUAGAUUGGCUUCUUGACCUAUCAGCGUCUGUACCGGGUGCAGGCAAACAGGAGAGGAACCUCCUUUCUCUGGGUGAGUGGUGGGAUCUCAGCUGCUUCCCCUAACUGCUCCUAGAACAGGCUCCUUAGACAAGCUGUUCCUUCUUGUUGACUCUCAAUGUCUGUCAGUCCUGAAAAUGCCUCUGAGUUUGAGUCAUGUUCUCCAGGUAAGGCCUGAAGAAAAGUAAGUCCCUUUGGGGCUGAGCACACAGCAGGCCCUAAAUGUGUGCUGGCAGGGCCACACAGCGGCCAGUGGCAAAGACACGACGAUUGGAAGUCUUUACUUAGCACCUACUGGGUGCCAGGGGCUGUGCACCCAGCAUCCCUUUAAAGCAGCGAUGUUGCUCCCAUUUUCAAGAGAAGGAAAGUCCUGGAUUGCUGGUGUCCGAGUUCUCUGCCUAGCGAGUGGCUUUGCCCUGCUAAAUUUCCACCUUCUCAGCACACAGUCCCCUCUAGGUCUCUCCAGCCGGCCUAUGGCACAGGGUCCCUGUCCUUAGCUGGAGCCCCCUGCCCCAUAUCUGGGGAUCUGGGUGGUCUACAAGUUCUCAGUGCAUACGACAGCCUUCCUCCCCCAGCCUGGCUCCAGGCAGGAGCCGUGGAGGUGGGGGAAGCAGGCGAGGAGGGAGCCAUGUCACCAUAUAUCCCAGUCAGAUUAAAAAACUAAUUUGAAAAGAUUAAUGCCUUCCAUUCCUGUUACGCGGGCUCUGAUACCUCUGGGCCUGCGGCCGCUCUGCCUCCUGAUUAUUGAAUUUUUAUGGCCUGGUAAUUAAUUGCAGAUUCCCUGUUUUGUUCUAUUUCUUUUUCUCUGACAUUUUAAUUUCAACAGAAAGCACUGGUCUCUAUGCAGAUUCUCUCUGGAGACCCUAAUGGUCUAUAAAACAGAAUGACUUAUACACGUGGCAUCCACUUCAGCUGGCGAGCGAUUGUUUGAAACCUUGCUGAUCACGCAAAAUUUAAUUUCCCCACCUCCCUCUCCUCUUGCUCCUCACCUCUAGUCUCUUCCGAUGCAGGGCCAGUGCCUCCCAAUCUGUUGCAGGCCCUUGUUGUAGGAGGCGGGGCCUGAAGUCAGGACCGGGUUUGAUCCCUUUCUUUGGGUUCGAGGAACUGGGUGCAUGCAGAUAAAUGGGCAUUCUUGGCCAUAUUGGGUCACAGCUGUUCACAGACACCGGCUGGGACAGACCCUUGUGCUUCUGCCUGUUGCCUUCCAAGUUCUACUCCUUCCAGCCCUGCUAACGUCCCAUGGGCUUGUCAUCUCCUUUAGAGCCAGCACCCAGGCGCCCCCCGCCCCCGGAACAGGUCACCUAGUGAAGGCAGAAGAUUCAAUUGAGCUGAAGAACUGGGAACUCAUUAGGCAAGUCAGGGGAGGGUGAUAGGGCUUCAUGGCCCAGUGUGGCCAGGGCUUCUGGGUCUUGGUUUGGAUUCUUACAAACAUCUGGGGUUGGUGGUCUAAACUGUCAGUCAACCUGUGCGCCCAGCUUUGAACUGUGACUGAUCCAGCUCAAGGGCUUCUACUCAUUCCUGGGGUAACAAGAAGUCAGGACAUGGGGAUUGGGGAUUUAGCUCAGUGGUAGAGCGCUUGUCUAGUAAGCACAAGGCCCUGGAUUUGGUCCUGGGGGGAGGGAGGGGGGGUUUCAGGACAGGAGGUAGGAUUCCUCAGGGCUGCUAGCUCCGAGUCCCUGGGGGGCCCCAGGAACCUUUUUCUUCCCUCUGGGAAGACUUUUUUGGGUGACUCCCCAGUGCAUUCCGGACCGGCCCCCGUUUCUCAGGGAAACUUGCAGCUUGACUUCAUGUCUGGGCCGAGACUGCCAGAUUCUGAAGCAAAGGUAACACCUCUUACCUUGAGGCUUUGGGAGGUCAGGCUGAGACUCUGGGGACCCUAAGAGCAAUUCAAGAUAGUGGACUGAGGAGGUAGAUCAUACAACGGGUUUCAGGGGUUCCUCAAACUGACCGGGGAGGAACCCAGAGACUGGGUCGCUCACCUUCUGUGCUUGGAUACUGGGCAGCGGGCACUGGCAAUGCCCAAAGUGCUUCAGUUUCCCCCUCUUUUGAGAGGCCAAAUGGGGAGGCAGUAAUAUGGGCCCCAGAUAGACCUGGGUUCGAAUGUGGGGCCCAUCAGUGACCCCAGCCUGUCUGAGCUCAGAGCCUCUCAGUUGAAUAAAAUGGGAUCGUUACGGUUUGGAUCUUAGAGGAUUGAGGGGGGGGGCAGUGUGUGGGAAUCUUGGAAGUGGAGCCUAGUAACGGAAAGCUGGGUCACUGGGCAUGUGACCACUAAGGGAAUAUGGGGACCCCUCCUUUCCCUCUGUUUCCCAUUCUUCAUGAAAUAAGCAGCCCGUGGCACCCCCACCCCCAACCAUGAGGUACUGGGUUAGCAUGUGCACACAUAGCAACUUAUUAAAUGAUUAUGAACCCCAAACUCUGAAAUCAUGAGCCAGAUAAACCAUCCUUCAGACCCCCUUUCAAGAUGGCCUCUCCCUGUAUAGCCCAGGCUAGCCUUGAUCUUCUUUCUACCUUAGACUCUCAAGUGCCAGAAUUACAGGGUCCACCACUAUGCUGCUUUUGCUAAGUUGCUUGCAUGUGUGAGUGUGUGUGUGUGUGUGUGUGUGUGUGCGUGUGUGUGUGUGCGCGCGCGUGCGUGUGCGCGCGCGUGUGUAUUGUCAUGGGAUGGUGCUUCUCUGUUUUCUAUUGCUGUAUCACGAGUAUCCACAAACCCAGUGGCUUAAAAAUACCAGUGCACAGCCCUGAGUCUGAGGUAAGGAAGCCUUGUGAGGUCAGUACUGUAUACUUACGAUCUCUGGAGGAUGGCAGUUCUCCCGGUGAACGGGCCUCUCCCAAUCUCGGGAGCUGUCUGUACAACUCACAUCCUUUUGAGAGUCAUCCACCACCAGGCCAGUCAUGGCACCUGACAUUUCUGGUGCCCCGGAUUUCUCUGCCUUCCCCCUUGGCUUCCAGGGACUUGUGUGGAGUUUUCCACUAUCUCCCCGUUUCAGGUGAGCUGGAUAGAAGCUUGAGCAUCAUCUGCAAGGUCUCCUUUGCGGGUUAAGAUAACGACCCAAAGAGUAACAUUGAUGGUAGAAGCCUUGGGGCCAAAAUUUUGCCUGGCACAAACCCCAGGCUUCCCUGAGUGGUUAUAAGGAGGCUGACCUCCCACUGCCCCUUUCCUCCAAUAAGCAGAUUCAGAAUGGACAGUGUGACAGGCAGGGUCUCCUGAUGGCAAGCCACAGCGCCACCUUAUGGCAAACAUCGGGUCCGACCUUAUUACAAACAACAGAAGUCUCUCCAAGCAGCACAUGGAGGAGGCCGCGAGGCUCAGGCUGGGACGUCCCACCCUAAGACUGCUCUAAUUAAAUCCCAGCGCCUACCACAGCCCUCAUGGCUCGGUGAGAUUCCUUCACAACCACCACCAAAAAGUCACAUUGCGCUUCUCCUGGUUUAGCACUGGACGGGCCUUCCAGGUUACUGGUACAGUGAGUGCAUCUGAUUGGCCGAAACCAGCUUCUGUGUGUGUACGAGUUUCUGAGAAAAGUGUCUGUUGUCUUUGCUAGGAAGGAAGAUGCAGACAGAGGCCGGCAUCAUCUCAACAGAGAAUGAGAGAGGAGCUGCGGGGAGGCUUCAGUGCUACUGCUCCACGCCCCUCAGUGCCCACCCAAACCAGCAAUACUAGGGGCGGCUGCACGCUAGCAGCCGGAGUGAACCAGACUAGAGAGAGGAGCAUGCACGCCCCCUGCUGGCAACUGCUCCGGCCACACGGACAGUUAGGUUUUCUUUUCCCUCUCUGGUUCCUCCACUCUCUGUCCACUUCUCAUCUGAGACAGGGUCUUACUGUGUAAUCCAGGUCGACCUCGAAUUCACAGAGAUUCACCUGAUUCUACUUCUGCGCUGAAUACUUGGCUUGAAGUGUGUCCGCUAGGUAAGGGCCCUUGAUUUUUCUUUUUCCCUUGCAGUGAAAGCUGCUUCUGCCCUAGCUGGACCUCACAAUAUCCCAGGCAAGGCUUCCCAGAGUAUGGUCUUCUGAAGUAGAGUUUCACAGCUGUCCAGGAAGUCCUGCCAGUGCUGUUUACCACAGUCAAGACAGUCAGCCAAGAUGCCAGUGGAUGAAUGGAUUAGAAAUGAGGUGUGUAUGUACAAUAGGAAUUUUAUUCCUCCAUAAAAGCUAGUAAAAAUUUGUGUAAAAUUAAUAGAACAAGACACUAUGUUAAGUGAAGUAAGUUAGACAGAGAUUUAAAUAGUAUGUGUCUGUUCUAAUUUAUGGAGCCAAAAUCAUUGAUCCAACAAAGUCCAGAGAUAGGUACCAAACACAUACACAGAGGAGUUUCUAAUGCUACUGUAGCACAAUGGGUCAGUUAGAGUUUAUAAUAGUUACACGCUUUAAAACUGCCAAAGACCUAAGAAGUUAUCAGCACACAGAAAAGAUGAUAGUUAAGUCUGGAAGUGUUAUUACCCAGAAUUGAUUAAGAAAUAACAAUGUCAUUUUUUUAACAAAAGUAUUCAAUUUGUGGUUUUAACCAUAAUAAAACUACUCUUUUUUUUUCUUUUUCUUUUUUUUCGGAGCUGGGGACCGAACCCAGGGCCUUGCGCUUGCUAGGCAAGCGCUCUACCACUGAGCUAAAUCCCCAACCCAUAAAACCAUCUUUUAAGAAAAAAUAUAGUUCAAGAGAAUUGAAAACAUUUCUCCUCAUGCAGACGUACAUGAAUAUUAACAUUAUUUAUAAUGACUGAGAGUCAGAAAUGACCCAAGUGGCCUUUAGUUGGGUGAGACCCUGGGUUUGAUCAUCAGCAAUGAAAAGCCAGGUAGAUAGGCAUUCAUCUUGUCUACUCCACUGUGCAAUGGACUAAUUAAUCUGGCAGAGGAAAUUUCAACACAGUCCAAUAUUCAAGCUGUUGCAUUGUUAACUGUGGCUGCAUCUUUUAAGCUAGGGGUGGGGCAGUGGAAUGAGAGGGAAAACAACCAACCAAUCAACCCAACCAACCAACCCAACCAACCAACCCAACCAACCAACCAACCAACCAACCAAUAGAAGAACCAACCCAACCAACCAACCAACCCAACCAACCAACCAACCAACCAGCCAAUAAAAGAACCAUCCAACCAACCAACCCACCAACAAAUCAACCAAACCAACCAACCAACCAACCAAUGAAAGAACCAACCAACCAACCAAUAAAAGAACCAACCAACCAACCAACCAACCAACCAAUAAAAGAACUAAUCAACCAACCAACCAACCAACCAAGCAACCAACCAAUAAAAGAACCAACCAACCAACCAACCAACCAACCAACCAACCAACCAAUAAAAGAACCAACCAACCAACCAACCAACCAACCAACCAACUAACCCAACCAACCAACCAACCCACCCACCCAACCAACCAACUAACCCAACCAACCAACCAAACCAACCAACCAACCAACCAACCCACCCAACCAACCAAUAAAAGAACCCACCCCAACUCCAAUCAGUUCAAGGAUGCAAGAAGAAAAGAAAUCCUUAGAAACUAGAACACCCUUCCCACCAAACACCAAGAUCAAAUCAUGGAAAUAAAGCCAAAUAGACUUGUGACCUCCAGAAAUAAAAACAGACUGGUUCCUCCAGGUAAAAGCACUGACUACCUUGAGUUAAAUAUAUACACACAUAUGAAAGCAGAAUGGGGUUGUCUGUGAGGAGGAAGGGGGACCAGUGAGGACCAGAGAGGAUGGAGGAGGGGUCAGGAUGUGUGACUAUCAGCUAAGGGCAACAAUAAUGCAAGUUUGCAAAUGUCACAAGGAAACCCAUCAGUGUGUUCACUAAAAAAAUUAAUAAAUUGGGGGGGGGGGCUGGAGAGAUGGUUUAGCAGUUAAGAGCACUGACUGCUCUUCCAGAGGUCCUGAGUUCAAUUCUCAGCAACGAUAUGGUGGCUCACAACCAUCUGUAAGGGAAUCUGAUGCCCUCUUCUGGUGUGUCUGAAGACAGCAACAGUGUACUUACAUAAAACAAAUAAAUAAAUCUUUAAAAAUUAAUAAAUGUAAAAGGCUGAAACCACAA